UGGACACCGGCGAAAGGGCGAGUAACGCGAUCGAACGUGCCCCGAGGUAGAGGAUAGCCGUGGGAAACUGCGGGUAAUACUCUAUAAGUUCCAAGGAAGAAAGCUCCGGCGCCUUGGGAGCGGCGAUCGUCCUAUCAGGUUGUUGGUGGGGUAAAGGCCUACCAAGCCGAAGACGGGUAGCGGGUGUGAGAGCAUGGCCCGCCGCAUCGGAACUGAGACACUGUCCGGACUCCUACGGGAGGCUGCAGUAACGAAUCUUCCGCAAUGCGCGAAAGCGUGACGGAGCAAUGCCGCGUGUGGGAUGAAGCGGUUACGCCGUGUAAACCACUGUCAGGACUUAGGAAGAACUGACCGAGUCCAAAGGAAGGGCCGGCUAAUCUCGUGCCAGCAGCCGCGGUAAUACGAGAGGCCCGAGCGUUAGGCGGAAUCACUGGGCUUAAAGGGUGCGUAGGCGGAUCAGUAAGCAUUUUGUGAAAUCCCUCGGCUCAACCGAGGAAUUGCAGAGUGAACUGCUGGUCUUGAGGUAGGCAGAGGUCAUCGGAACGUACGGUGGAGCGGUGAAAUGCGUAGAUAUCGUACGGAACGCCGAAGGGGUAGCCAGGUGACUGGGCCUUACCUGACGCUGAGGCACGAAAGCGUGGGGAUCAAACAGGAUUAGAUACCCUGGUAGUCCACGCCGUAAACGAUGUGCACUAGUUUGGUGGAGAUCUGACUCUCUGCCAGACGCCGAGAAAUCAUUAAGUGCACCGCCUGGGGAGUACGGUCGCAAGGCUAAAACUCAAAGGAAUUGACGGGGGCUCACA
rnacentral:rRNA from 1 species